CCCAAAAUAAAUAAACGUUGAAAAAACAAUUAAAAAAAAAAAAAAGAACAAACCUCAUGAAUAUUUGUAUAAAAACAAAACGAUCCAGAACUCAAUAGAGUAAAAUUCAUGACUGGCAAAAACAAAAAACAAACAAAAACACCCCCCAAACCAUUAUACCCUUGCAAAGCAAUAAUAAAAUAUAAGCCACAUUGAGGAGAAAAAAAACCCAAUAAAUUGAAACUGGACUAGAACUAAUAAAAUGUUAAAAUAAACAAAUGAGGACAUUGAUACUGCUAGUACAACUAUAUUACAUAUGUUCAAAGAGUUGAGGAGAGGCAUGGAAGAUAUAAAUCCACCCAAUUUGAACUUCUAAACAUAAAAAGUUUGAUGUGUGAGAUGAAAAAAAAAAUCUGAAUGCGAUUAAGCAAGUUAGGAGACAUUAAAAAGGAAAUAUUUUAGAAUGGUUAAACUUGAAAAUGUUGACCACACCAAAUGUUGAUAACGAAGUAGAGAAACUGGAUAUCUCGUGAACUGCUUAUGGGAAUGUCCAAUAAUAUAACUACUUUGAGAGAUUGACAGUUUCUUAAUCUGUUUAACAUAUGUGUGCAAUAUAAUCUAGUCACUCCACUCCUUAGCAUUUUCCCAAAGAAAAUGAAAGCCUACAUCCCUAUAAAGAAUUGGGCAUAAGUUCACACAAUAGCUUUAUUUGUAAUAUUCCACUAAAAAGACCAAAAUGCCUAUCAACAGGUUAAUGGGUUGGCAAACUUUGGUAUGUCCAUGUAAUGGAUACUUGUCAGCAAGAAAAAGGAACGAACUAUUGAUAUAUGCUACAAAAUGGAUGAAUAUUAACAUCGUUAUGCUGAGUGGUAGAAUCGAGACAAGAAAGCAUAUAUACAGUAUGAUUCCAGUUAUAUAAAAUUCUAGAACAUAAAAACUAAUCUAUAGUGACAGAAAGCCUAUUAGUUGUUGCUUCGAGAAGGGGGAGGAGGGACAGAGAAGUUUGAGUGGGAAUGACUGCAAGGAUCCGUUGGUGGGUAUUGAUAUACUCAUGAUCUUGAUUGCGGUGAUGGUUCACGGUAGGUACACAUGAAAACUAAUCAAAUUGUAUACUUUUAAUAUGUGCAGUAUAUUGUGUGGUGUUAAAAAAAAAGAGGAACCUGGAGAACAAAGGUUUCACAGGGAGUCAUAGGUAGAACUAUUAAAGUCAUAUUUCCUUUUUCUAUAAUGCAUUUCCUUUAUUCUUAAAAGUAUUUGGAAACAACAUUGAUUAUUAGAUGUAGUGUCAUGUGUAAAUGCAAUCCAUAGUAAUUUACAGUUCUGUCCUACUUCUUCCAAAAUCAAAGAAGCACAACUGCAACUGUUAUUCACACGGAUGUUGAAAGGCUGGGAGUCCACAUGUUGAUGGAGCCACCAUAGCCAUGGUUACAAUACUGCUUAUUGUGGACUCCAUAACAACAAAGGAUGUGCAAUGAAAAUUCACUAGUCUAUACAGUAAUAUUCACUUCACACAGUGUUUGGAGUUUCUCACAUUUUAUCUUAGAGCCACCUGCAAGCUCAUUAAACACAGAUAUCUGGGACCCAUUACCAGUUUCUGACUGAGUAGGUCUGGUAGGGGGCUGAAAAUUUUACAUCUCUACCAAAUUUACAGAUGAUGCUGAUGAAGUUGCUCGAGGGACCACACUUUAAGAAUCACUAAGAUAAAUGCCCUAGACAAAAAGACAAGGAAUCCCUUCAUGCAGUUGAAUUUAAUUAUUCAUUUGGGUUUGGAUUUAAAUAUGUCCAGGUGGCAGAGAGCAAGCAAGCAUCUGAGCAGCCCAGUGGAAAUACCCCUGUCAGAUGCUCAUCCGUCCUUUCCUGUUUCCUGGAUCCAUUUAGCUCACCACAAACCUAUUUUGUAGGUGUAGGAGUCACACACAGAUUUUUCUACUUUUCAAAUUUAAAAUGUUUAAUGGUAGUCAGUUGAAUCCUCGCAGAACCAAUGAAGAUCAUUGUCCACUUGUAAGUUCAACAAGGUGUUUAAACGCCUGUCCUAUGUCACACUCUGUGUUAGGUACUUGAUAUUCAGUGGUGAGCAAGUUGGGCACGGUUACCUCUUGGAAAUUCCUGUCUAUUGGAAAAAUUGUCAUUAUAUCAAUAAUCAUCCAAAUAAAAGAGCACAAUUAUGACAAAUGUACAGGAGAGCUGUAAAUAUUAUUGACGAUCAGUACAAAAAUAAUGUUCCUGAGAAGACAAUGCAUGUAAUUCUAUAACUUGAUUGCAUCUGUAUCUGCCUCCAAUUCUAAGGAUAAUUUCUGAUAUAGUUUGCACUGGACAAUUCUAGUAGACAAUUUUAAAGUGUAUGGCACUCCACCUCCCAUUUACAUUUUCAUUGCCUUUGGUUUUAUCCCUGAAUUUGUAUCUUCUUUGUCUUAUAAGUUGAUUUAACUUCUACCUUUUAUUACUUUUAUAUUUUUAGAAGUUAUGGUGUCAGUUUAUUUAAUGUUUAUCUUUUCUUUGACUGAUUUCAUCUCAACCAAAAUAGAUCUCUUGUUUAAUUUGUUAUUGUACUUUUGGAAGAGAAUCAGAUUUUCUGAGCUUCACUAAAUUACUUCUUUUACAAGACAAAUGAUUCACAGGAGACCUGAAUAGUUCAUGAAAACAAAAGGAAGGCAAAUCUCCUUAUUGACCAAAAAUUACACUAACAACUCAACAGACGAACUUCAACAGAUGAUGAGCAAAGCUGCUAAUUAGUAAACUGCGGAGUUUAAAAAAUAGAGGGGACUAUAAAUUAAACAUUGAGCUACAUUCCUGACUUUGUACAUGACCAUGAGAAUGUCAACUCUCAACUAUCCUCAGACUUUCAUCUAAACAAGAAGAAACACGUGAACUACAAUGGUAAAUAUGAGGAACAAAGACUGAUGGAAGAGGAAGCAAAAAGGCAAUGGAGGAAAUAUUUUAGGAAAUUAUGGUAGAAAAAGUAGAAAAGAGGAGAGGUAGAAAGGAAUUAUUCAAGAAAAUAUAAAAGGGAAAGAGUCAGUAUUAGACAUUCAGAUUCAACAGAUAUUUUUGAACCUCUGUGGGCUUGCCUGUGUGCUGGGCUCUGAACAAAAUGAAAAAGGCCUCUGCUUCCAAGGAACUUAUAUUGUAGUUGUUGUGUAUCAGUUAAGAUUAGGUGGUCUGUAUGAAAAAAAUGUGUGAAAAGAUUUUAAAAGUCAUAUUGUUUUUCUUUAACCCAAAAUAAAACUGAACUUAACCCAGUGUUGGUUAAAUUCUACCCUGAAGGCAAUCACUGUUCAAAACAGCUGCUGUGGCCCCAGCUUCCCCAUCCAUUACCAGACAGCAAAAAAGGGGAAGAGAAAAUAAAGCAAAAGGGAAAUAUUAUCCCUUAAGGAACCAACCAUACUAGGAGUCUCUUCCCAAAACUUUUAACUUCUAACUCAUUAGUCAGGGUUUAGUCAUGUGGAAACCUUUAGCAUAUAUGGAAGAGUGGGAAAUAAAAUAUUUUUGUUGGGCAUAUCACUGCUCCAAAUAAUACUCGUUGUUUGCUCCUAAAGCAGAAAGCAAGAAUGGAUAUCAUGUAGGGAUCCAGUUGGCUCUGCCAUGGAUAGAAAUGUGAACAAUGUGAUCUUUGAUUAUUAUUUUAUAUUUAUUUGCUUCUUAUGGUCUUCAAACCAUGGAUAUAUUCAUAAUGAUAAAAAAGAGAGACUUAUGUUGCCUGAGUCUAUUUUCUCCGAGUUGGCCCUAUCAGUUAUUGUUCAUCUAAAUCUACUUUUCCUUUUUUCCAUUCCCUAAGAGCUUACUUGUUUUUAGUGGAACUGGGAAAAUUGUUUAAACUCCAACGUGACUCACAGAACUACUUGCAGAUGUUGCCUUUGAACAUUUGGAGACUAAUGAGAGCUGCACACUAAUCUCAUUAGAUUAUUCACAAAUAAAAACAAUAAUUUUAUAUUCUUAAUAGUUUAAGAUCCAGAGAUUUGGCACAAGACACUGCCAAUUCAACCCUAUUUCCAGUUACUCAUACUGAGGACAUAUCUAAAUAAGUUCCAGAAGCACCUUAAAGUUUCAAUCCCAUUAUAAUUCCUGUGGCUAAUUACUGGUGGCAGAAGGACUGAGUUUCUCUUUCACAUAUUAGUUUUGGAAAGUUAAACUCUGUUAGAGUACUAAUAAGGAGUAUGCUGAUUGGUUCUCAGCUCCUACUUCCCUCUCUCACACUAUUAGAAAAUAAACGAAUGGUUAAAUCUUUCUCUGAAUCAAUCAUGCAAUUUCCUGAGCACAGGAGCUUUACAAUUUGCAGUAUGCUUUUCCCUGUAGUAUCUCACUUUAUUCUCAUACUUUCCCUGUAAAGUAUAACAAUUUGCAGUUAUUACGCACAUUGUACCGUAUCUGAGGGUCUGAGGAGUGACCUGAAUUGUUCAAAUCACUGGGCCUGUAAAAUUUGAACUAUGACCGAUUAAAAAACAUUUUUUCACUAUAA